rnacentral:misc_RNA from 1 species
UGUGGGAGCGGGCUUGCUCGCGAUUCAGACGCCUCGGUCCAUCUGAACCACUGGGGCGUUGCUAUCGCGAGCAAGCCCGCUCCCACA